GCUGUAUUUUGUAAUUUAGUUAUGGCAUUUCCAAAGAUCUAUUUAGGUAAUAGAUCAUCGAGUACGUACACAACAUUGAUACGAUAUAUGAUUAAAAACUCUAACAUACCUGACGUUUAGAAAAUGUUUUCACCAUUAUAUACAAAAGACUUUUUAUUUGCACUAACACAUUUACAUACAAUACACUGACAAUAAUUGAAUAAGAGUGGCAAUGGCAUUUGCACGAAAGAAGACUUCACAAACGUGUGCAUUGACAAUUAACCCUUUUAUCAAGGUCCUUGAACAGAAAAUGAUACAUAUAAAAACAUAACAUGAAGUUUUCUUAUCGUAUGAGAGGAACACUUUGCUGUAUGAAAUGUUUAGAUAAGCAGGUGAAUAUGGCUAGCCAGGGCAAUUGUUUUUUCAAGUUGUGUGUUUGGCUUCAUUAGGUUAAUCUUUUUUUUAGCAAACGAGUAUGAUAAGUGAUAUUCAAUACACUUUUCUUGGGUUUCAUUUAUUACAUACAGUAACAGCAGUUUAUUUGAUAUUUUUCUAUUUCUGUUUGUUAACCAAUUGUUAAACCGCCGCAACAAACCUUAUACUUCAUAACAAAAGCGUAUUUUUACUUCAAAUGUCCCAAACUGUCUAUGAAGAUCUAAAGAAAAUGUUGUCUUAUCCUAUCAAAAUCUGUAUUCCUUCAGUUAAUUGAUCAACACCCACGCUAAACCUUGAGAUAGUUUGCCUCCUCUCAGCCGUUGAUAUUUUGAAAAAUGAAAAACAACAACCCUAUAAAAAAAGUAUCAAACUUACUACGUAAUUUUCUACGAUAACAACAAUUUAUACAUAGAUUAU
rnacentral:lncRNA from 1 species